rnacentral:sRNA from 1 species
UAAUAAUUAACUGUACCGAAGACAGUAGGUGACGCAAGUCUUAAUUUCCUACCGAGGACAUUUAUUGAAGAACAUUCAAUAGUCCCUCUAUGUCUACGGUGACAAGGAGAGGCUUUUUUCUUU